rnacentral:misc_RNA from 1 species
GUGAAUCAUCGAAUCUUUGAACGCAAAUUGCACUCUCUGGUAUUCCGGGGAGUAUGCCUGUUUGAGGGUCGACAGAAUAAAAAAUUGUUGCGUGGCCCUUUUUUUUAAGGGUGAUCGCGUCGGAAUUAUGCUUUCUUUCGCAUGUUAAUUCAUGUCAAGGUGGCUUGAAAUUCAUCCAUCCGGUAAGAUUGUAGCGUAUUUAAGAUCAAUUUUGAUUGAGAGCGCGCGAUGUCGUACUAUUUCAUGUAGUACGUUUGAACUGGGUCAUUUGG